rnacentral:rRNA from 1 species
CCUACGGGUGGCAGCAGUGAGGAAUAUUGGUCAAUGGGCGUAAGCCUGAACCAGCCAAGUCGCGUGAGGGAUGAAGGCUCUAUGGAUCGUAAACAUCUUUUAUAAGGGAAUAAAGUGUGGGACGUGUCCUAUUUUGUAUGUACCUUAUGAAUAAGGAUCGGCUACCUCCGUGCCAGCAGCCGCGGUAAUACGGAGGAUCCGAGCGUUACCCGGAUUUAUUGGGUUUAAAGGGUGCGUAGGCGGCAUUUUAAGUCAGCGGUGAAAGCCUGUGGUUAAACGAUAGAAUUGCCGUUGAAACUGGGGGGCUUGAGUAUGUUUGAGGCGGGCGGAAUGCGUGGUGUAGCGGUGAAAUGCUUAGAGAUCACGCAGAACCCCGAUUGCGAAGGCAGCCCGCCAAGCCAUGACUGACGCUGAUGCACGAAAGCGUGGGGAUCAAACAGGAUUAGAUACCCCUGUAGUC